rnacentral:rRNA from 1 species
GGGGAAUUUUGGACAAUGGGCGCAAGUCUGAACCAGCCAUGCCGCGUGAAGGAUGAAGGUCCUCUGGAUUGUAAACUUCUUUUAUCUGGGACGAAAACGGGAUUUUUAUCUCAAUUGACGGUACCAGAGGAAUAAGCACCGGCUAACUCCGUGCCAGCAGCCGCGGUAAUACGGAGGGUGCGAGCGUUAUCCGGAUUUACUGGGUUUAAAGGGUGCGUAGGUGGGCUUAUAAGUCAGUGGUGAAAUCUCCGAGCUUAACUUGGAAACUGCCGUUGAUACUAUAGGUCUUGAAUUAUCUGGAGGUAAGCGGAAUAUGUCAUGUAGCGGUGAAAUGCUUAGAUAUGACAUAGAACACCAAUUGCGAAGGCAGCUUACUACAUAUAAAUUGACGCUGAGGCACGAAAGCGUGGGGAUCAAACA